AGCACUCAAAAUUAAUUUUUCACUUGAUUGUUUGUUUCUUUUUAUGUAAGGAAAAAAUGCUGCUUAAGCGUGGAGGUAAAGAUCCGGCCGAUUUUAUACGACGAAUGCUUAUGAGUGUUUUUGCACCCGAAUUGGCACUUGGAGUCUCGUGGUUGGGGAGGAAGAAAAACAAUAGACUCGAAGGGACAAUAUUCGCACGUAUAUUAUUUGCUGCUGUGAAACAACGAUAUAGGAAGAUUGACGAUCGGGAAAUCGAAACAACGGUUAUAGACUGGUUCCGGCGGGCAACUGAUCGCCUAAAAAAACAAGCUAAUAUUACUAAUGCGGCUCAAUAGUAUGUAUGUAAAUAAUAAUCCACUAAUAAAAAAAGAAAAUAGAAACCGUUGAUAUUACUUAUGAUUUACACGACACUGGGUUCUAAAAUGUCAAGAAAAGUUUAUUAAGUAACCGAUUAUUAGUUGUAAAUAUAAUGUCAAACGACCAAUAAAAUGAGCAAUAAAAAGUACUGUAAUAUUAUA